GAUGAACGCUGGCGGCGUGCCUAAUACAUGCAAGUCGAGCGAACGGACGAGAAGCUUGCUUUUCUGAUGUUAGCGGCGGACGGGUGAGUAACACGUGGAUAACCUACCUAUAAGACUGGGAUAACUUCGGGAAACCGGAGCUAAUACCGGAUAAUAUUUUGAACCGCAUGGUUCAAAAGUGAAAGACGGUCUUGCUGUCACUUAUAGAUGGAUCCGCGCUGCAUUAGCUAGUUGGUAAGGUAACGGCUUACCAAGGCAACGAUGCAUAGCCGACCUGAGAGGGUGAACGGCCACACGGGAACUGAGACACGGUCCAGACUCCUACGGGAGGCAGCAGUAGGGAAUCUUCCGCAAAGGGCGAAAGCCUGACGGAGCAACGCCGCGUGAGUGAUGAAGGUCUUCGGAUCGUAAAACUCUGUUAUUAGGGAAGAACAUAUGUGUAAGUAACUGUGCACAUCUUGACGGUACCUAAUCAGAAAGCCACGGCUAACUACGUG
rnacentral:rRNA from 1 species